GCAAAGUCAUCAUAUAAUGUAAAUUAUAUGAAGCACACUGAACUCACCAGAAACACGCGGAAUGCUAAUAUUGAAUUAAUUUGAUUUUCGCAUUUGUUCCAUCCAUUCAACUGUAAAUAUUGUUUGUUCUUAAUGUUAUUGGACAUAAAAUAGUAUUUAUUAUGUGACUCGGAGUAAAUUAUUGGAAUAUAUGAUUUGACAGCGGAUUCAAUACAGCCGACUACAAUAGAUUGAUCUUAGUAGUUCCUACGUAACGACCCAUUAAGAAAUGGAUAUGAGAUCUGCUGUGUUCCUAAUUCUCGUGAUCGCUUUCGUGAAAAUCGUCCAGGGCGGAGCUGCAGCCGUACACGGAUUAGACCAAACAGUCCAGAGCCGUGAACAGGAGAUGGCAGAAAAAUUAAUAAAAUUUUUGUGUUAAU